UGUCUCCUCCACCUCCUCCUGGUGGAUUUCACGGCCAGCAACACGCUGGCCGUUUUUUUU
rnacentral:ncRNA from 1 species